UUAAAAUUUGCGAUUUCAGUCCCUGUGGUUUCACUUUUGUAACCAUUUGAAAUGGUUACAAAAGUGAAACCACAUGGACUGAAAUGGUUACGAAA
rnacentral:miRNA from 1 species